GAGUUUGACAAGUAAACAAAAAUUUAAAGGAAAUCAUAUUAAUUCUGGACCAAAUUAUGAACAGAAGUGGAGUUACAAGGAAUAAUGAGCGAACUCGGGAAGAAACCACUUGCUUCCUCUGAUCACGUCCCACAGAAGAAGUAACAAAAGCUAAUGCUAAAUGCUGAAGCUUAAGGAGCCGAUGACAGAGAGAGCAGUGAGCACGCAUAGACUCCCCCAUGCACCAUGCACAGAAGCAUCAUGGGU
rnacentral:lncRNA from 1 species